rnacentral:rRNA from 1 species
GGUUAAGUUAGAAAGGGCGCACGGUGGAUGCCUUGGCACUAGGAGCCGAUGAAGGACGGGACGAACACCGAUAUGCUUCGGGGAGCUGUAAGCAAGCUUUGAUCCGGAGAUUUCCGAAUGGGGAAACCCACCACUCGUAAUGGAGUGGUAUCCAUAUCUGAAUUCAUAGGAUAUGAGAAGGCAGACCCGGGGAACUGAAACAUCUAAGUACCCGGAGGAAGAGAAAGCAAAUGCGAUUCCCUGAGUAGCGGCGAGCGAAACGGGAUUAGCCCAAACCAAGAGGCUUGCCUCUUGGGGUUGUAGGACACUCUAUACGGAGUUACAAAGGAACGAGGUAGAUGAAGAGGUCUGGAAAGGCCCGCCAUAGGAGGUAACAGCCCUGUAGUCAAAACUUCGUUCUCUCCAGAGUGGAUCCUGAGUACGGCGGAACACGUGAAAUUCCGUCGGAAUCCGGGAGGACCAUCUCCCAAGGCUAAAUACUCCCUAGUGACCGAUAGUGAACCAGUACCGUGAGGGAAAGGUGAAAAGCACCCCGGAAGGGGAGUGAAA